GUGCCAGCCGCCGCGGUAAUACGGAGGGUCCAAGCGUUGUCCGGAAUCACUGGGCGUAAAGGGUGUGCAGGUGGGGCAGCAAGUCAGAGGUGAAAGCCCGCGGCUUAACCGCGGACGUGCCUUUGAAACUGCUGCUCUUGAGUCCCGGAGAGGUUGCCGGAAUUCGUGGUGUAGCGGUGAAAUGCGUAGAUAUCACGAGGAACACCAGAGGCGAAAGCGGGCAACUGGACGGGUACUGACACUGAGGCACGAAAGCGUGGGGAGCAAACAGGAUUAGAAACCCGAGUAGUCC
rnacentral:rRNA from 1 species